UGGUGGUGUUGGUGGUGGUGUUGGUGGUGGUGCUGAUGGGGUGUUACACUGUGGGCGGCUCGUCCCGAGAAAGGACGAGCACCGGGCCCUGACCGGGCCGAAACAAAGCGCAUGGGCGGGCACGUGGCUAAGUCCGUCUAUUCCUCCGCGCGCGCCUCACUCCCUCACUGACGCCAGCCGAGGCGCUCUCCCAGUCCCUGGUUAGGCAACACAGCGGCGCAGAAGACUGCGAACCGAACUAAGCGAGAGCCGCGCAAGAGGCGCCACACCACCUCUGGGAUCCCUGGACAGGCUACCUGUCCCCACUUCGCCUGGCAAGCCUACUCGCGCGCUUUCCCCUAAAGAACACCAAAGAAUAAAUCGAAAACGCCACCGGGGCCAGGGGUUCUACACAGGGAGCUCCAUACAUACUCAAAGGCAGGCGGCUGGCAGAGGUUAAGGCCUGACUUCUGCACCUGGCCGACCCGGGUUCAAAUCCGCCUGCCGGCUCCUCGGGUGUUUGAGGAGUGAUGAAAUGGGAGGUGGCCCCCCAUCACAUGGACGGUGUAGGACGUGAUAAUAUCAGCUUGCGAGCUGACCAGGAACUAAGUUAAUGCGCCGUUGAUCCGCUAGAUUUGGUUGGAUGCUGGUGGUGAGUUGCCGGACCCAACGAAUACAUUCUGGAGUCGGAUGGGGUGACGGAUUAGGGUGCCCCUCUAGCAGGGGAGAGCAGGGACUGCCCUGGGAAAGGGGGCCGCUGGUGAAGUUAACCACCCUGUAACAACAUACAUACUCAANNNNNNNNNNNNNNNNNNNNNNNNNNNNNNNNNNNNNNNNNNNNNNNNNNCUGCAUUUCAGCAGGUAGACCAGGGGUGCCCUGCACUGUCUUGAUCCGCCAGGUGUCUGCCAUCAGGGUGGGAGCUAGCCCUGGAAGUCCGCCUCAUCCCACAUGUGCCAUGGAGUGGAGUAGCAAAGCAUGAGGAACCCAGGGAUGGCUCGGGGGUCCAGGCUGACAGGGACCCCCUUGAUCUCCCAGUGGGGGUGCUCCUCCUUUUAUAAGUUGGUGAUAGGCAGCUCCACUUACACUGGUGGGCUGCUGGGGAGGAAUUGGACUGGCCCCAGCUGAAGAAAUCCUUGCCUGACUACUGGCGAGGUGGUAAGCGUUGACAGUCCACCUUUCCGGACCAAGGUGCUAAUCUCUUGCAACUUCACGCAACGGGCACUCCCCGUUGCGGGCAUGUGCUGAUUCGCGGCCUGCGCGGGCUCACAGCCUCCACGGGCGGUAAAGCCGCCUCUAAUUUGUUGAUAAUGGCCUUGACAAUCGGUCCAUACAGCUGGAAUUAUAUGUCCGCGGGAUCAAAACCGGCCGGCCAAUGGAUUACACUUACCAGGUCCUGUUCGAGAUACAGCGGGGCUCCCUCUGGAAUUCUGCUCAUAAUUUCAUCGGUAUCCACGUAUUCCCAUUCUGCUUGGGAGCGACUUGGUUGCGGGCGAGCCGCUCGGGCUGUCACCCGUCCAUUUGAAUGCUGUUUUGGCGUGGAGGUCCGCAGCUGUCCAUUUUUCGCCAUUUUGGUCUAUCUAAACCAUGUUGUUUUGCGUGAGAUUUCCGUGUUUACUGUGGUCGGCGAUGCUGGCCAUAGGCAGUUCGUGGACGGCGUUACAAAUGAUGUUGUUGUUGUUUGUUGUUGUUGGUGGUGGUGGUGGUGUUGGUGGUGGUGUUGGUGGUGGUGCUGAUGGGGUGUUACACUGUGGGCGGCUCGUCCCGAGAAAGGACGAGCACCGGGCCCUGACCGGGCCGAAACAAAGCGCAUGGGCGGGCACGUGGCUAAGUCCGUCUAUUCCUCCGCGCGCGCCUCACUCCCUCACUGACGCCAGCCGAGGCGCUCUCCCAGUCCCUGGUUAGGCAACACAGCGGCGCAGAAGACUGCGAACCGAACUAAGCGAGAGCCGCGCAAGAGGCGCCACACCACCUCUGGGAUCCCUGGACAGGCUACCUGUCCCCACUUCGCCUGGCAAGCCUACUCGCGCGCUUUCCCCUAAAGAACACCAAAGAAUAAAUCGAAAACGCCACCGGGGCCAGGGGUUCUACACAGGGAGCUCCAUACAUACUCAAAGGCAGGCGGCUGGCAGAGGUUAAGGCCUGACUUCUGCACCUGGCCGACCCGGGUUCAAAUCCGCCUGCCGGCUCCUCGGGUGUUUGAGGAGUGAUGAAAUGGGAGGUGGCCCCCCAUCACAUGGACGGUGUAGGACGUGAUAAUAUCAGCUUGCGAGCUGACCAGGAACUAAGUUAAUGCGCCGUUGAUCCGCUAGAUUUGGUUGGAUGCUGGUGGUGAGUUGCCGGACCCAACGAAUACAUUCUGGAGUCGGAUGGGGUGACGGAUUAGGGUGCCCCUCUAGCAGGGGAGAGCAGGGACUGCCCUGGGAAAGGGGGCCGCUGGUGAAGUUAACCACCCUGUAACAACAUACAUACUCAAAAGACGAGGCAGGGGAAGACCAGGCCAGACACGGCCCCUCAGAAGACUCUCCUAGUCAAGGACACCCACGCAGCCAGCAAGGCAAGAGACACACGGAGGCCCACGGGACACGGGCCACGGCUGAGUCACCGCACCACAAAAGCAGAGACGCGGCUGCACAAAGAGACCAAACACAAGUCGGGCACUCGCACACUGGUCCCUGAAGGCCAGCUGUUGAACUACGCAACACGCAACGCACACCUCCCGAGGACGGCCACCACUACCUCACAGGUCCACACACAACCGAGGCAAAGACUGGUCCGCACGGCAGUCUCCUCUGGGGACUACGGGCUCCCGGACGCAGCCCAGCGCAUGACAAAGCAAAAACACCUAUAGCCGCGGGGGGAAUGACAAGCCAGCGCGGCGGCCCCCCCCACCCCACCCCCCCCACACACACGCACACACACACACACACACACACACACACACACACACACACACACACACACACACACACACACACACAGCCCGGCUCCGGUCAUAGUUGUUUCUAAUGUUCUUGUUUCCCGUGUGUAUAUUGCAUAAGUACUAGAACGUUUUGCGAUAUAUCAUGACUUGUACCUAACUUGUGGCUCUUAGGCUCUUGUGGCUCCGGGCACUCGUUACACCUCUCUAUCUGGGUAACGCAACCUGGAGGUGUAACACACACACAGCUACACACACACACAUCAGCAGUCAGUCCUACAGGGCAUUGUGCGGAUCGCAUCAUUUCACCAUUUACAUUAAUAGCAUCAGGCGCAACCGCGACUUGUACGUCACUACCGUACUGUUGUACGAUUGCCAUGCGCUAUACAAAUGUAGGCCUCCACUCAAUCUAUCAUGACCUUAUAUGCAUUCGAUGCACACAAUUCGAUCGUUGCCGUGGUGGUUUGCGAGGAGGACGUGAUCAGGGUAAGGGUAGCGCGUCUUAACAUGGUGCAUGAGAAGAGCCUACGGAAACUAAAGCACAAAAAACAUCAGCAGAAUCCGUACACAUACGUCGUACAGAGCUUAUGUGAGCUCCUCUCGUCCCUGGUCAGUGAACGGCGUCGCACUCCACAAACAGUUGUGUCGACAUUUAGCAGUCUAAUCUAGCUGUGAGGAUAAUAUACGUCGGGAGUAGGGGGGAGGCACUGGCCGCGGUCCAAACCUCAAAAAUACUGGAAGACCGAAACCCUAAGUGUGCCAAGCCUUAGGGCCAGAAACCCCCUGCUAAGACUUUCGCCGUUCAGAAGUCCUCGUCCGUAACUGCAUCGUUAACGCUGUGAACGCACACACACAUACAUACAUAAUACAUACAUAUGUAGCGGAAGCCUUCCCGUUGUUGCUCGUCGUAAGUGGGUUGGCAAGCUAAGCUAUAGGCUAACAGGCGAACCACAUCACAUUGGGCGGCAAUGCGCAGCAGCCAUGGGUGGGACACUAAGACUCAGCAUGACCACGAAACUAAACGCAAAACACAUAUCAUCAACAUUUCCGUAUGGCCCCGGGUAAGAGGAGUAAAACCCGGCGGUACGUCGUUCCCGGCCGCACCUACCGCCUCCUUAUCGUCCCCUUUCCAACUUUUUUAAAUUCGAUACUUUUAAAGCAGCAAAAUGUAUUUCUGCAACACGGACGCGGAUAAACACACGCCCCGAAACCAAGAUCGUUAGCUCAGGACUUCACUUCCGCCUUCCCAGGGGCCGCAUACAACACAUAACACACAACCCAGUCUACCUUGUGGAGCAAGCACGCAGCCGUACGCCCCCCUGGUUGCAGGGUUAGGUCUACGGGGGGAAGGGACAGAGGGUUAAACCGCUUCCAUCGCCCCGUCCCGCUUUUCCCCCCUUCCCUAACAGGGCCCUAUGCGCGGCAGCAGCAGCGCCAGCCGACACGCUUGCCGUUCCGACCACCAAGGGGGCAGGGACGGCAACAAUACGACACAACCAAUACGACAAUUAAUACGACAACCAAUACGACAAAACCAAAGCGACUAAACGAACAUCGCAAUAAGGGGCGGAGCAUUAGCAAAAUACUGUUCGCAGGGCGUCUGACAAGGGCCCGGGCAUUAAAGCAAACCACAACCCCCGUACAGGUCGUUUCUAAGCCAGAUACCAACCAGGUAACGACAUAUGCACACGGCGACAAGCCCUGCUAUACACGGAAUAUGGGAUCCCUACAAAAAGGAAAAUCUCCGGGACCCCCCUGACCCCGGGCAGCCCCUCUUCGCGCUUGAAAACCCCGGCGUGUACAUUCCUCCGCCCUGCCCUGCCCUGCCCUGCCCCGCUCAGGACCUCGGCGUCCCCACCCCCACACUCCCCCUCCCAAGAGUAGCAGUCGCAUCUCCACGUCAUCGUGCAACACAGUGAACCGCUACAGCCAAGACCGCCGAGGGAGCCUGGCAGCCCCGUGUGUAUAUGUAUAUAUGUAUAUGUAUGCAUGUAUUUAUGCAUAUGAAGUUUUCCA
rnacentral:lncRNA from 1 species